rnacentral:rRNA from 1 species
GAGUUUGAUCCUGGCUCAGGAUGAGCGCUGGCGGCGUGCUUAACACAUGCGAGUCGAGCGAUGAAGUUUCCUUCGGGAAACGGAUUAGCGGCGGACGGGUGAGUAACACGUGGGUAACCUGCCUCAUAGAGUGGAAUAGCCUUCCGAAAGGAAGAUUAAUACCGCAUAAUGUUGAAAGAUGGCAUCAUCAUUCAACCAAAGGAGCAAUCCGCUAUGAGAUGGACCCGCGGCGCAUUAGCUAGUUGGUGGGGUAACGGCCUACCAAGGCGACGAUGCGUAGCCGACCUGAGAGGGUGAUCGGCCACAUUGGGACUGAGACACGGCCCAGACUCCUACGGGAGGCAGCAGUGGGGAAUAUUGCACAAUGGGGGAAACCCUGAUGCAGCAACGCCGCGUGAGUGAUGAAGGUUUUCGGAUCGUAAAGCUCUGUCUUUGGGGAAGAUAAUGACGGUACCCAAGGAGGAAGCCACGGCUAACUACGUGCCAGCAGCCGCGGUAAUACGUAGGUGGCGAGCGUUAUCCGGAUUUACUGGGCGUAAAGGGAGCGUAGGCGGAUGAUUAAGUGGGAUGUGAAAUACCCGGGCUCAACUUGGGUGCUGCAUUCCAAACUGGUUAUCUAGAGUGCAGGAGAGGAGAGUGGAAUUCCUAGUGUAGCGGUGAAAUGCGUAGA